rnacentral:rRNA from 1 species
GACGAACGCUGGCGGCGUGCUUAACACAUGCAAGUCGAACGGAAAGGCCCUGCUUUUGUGGGGUGCUCGAGUGGCGAACGGGUGAGUAACACGUGAGUAACCUGCCCUUGACUUUGGGAUAACUUCAGGAAACUGGGGCUAAUACCGGAUAGGAGCUCCUGCUGCAUGGUGGGGGUUGGAAAGUUUCGGCGGUUGGGGAUGGACUCGCGGCUUAUCAGCUUGUUGGUGGGGUAGUGGCUUACCAAGGCUUUGACGGGUAGCCGGCCUGAGAGGGUGACCGGCCACAUUGGGACUGAGAUACGGCCCAGACUCCUACGGGGGGCAGCAGUGGGGAAUAUUGCACAAUGGGCGGAAGCCUGAUGCAGCAACGCCGCGUGCGGGAUGACGGCCUUCGGGUUGUAAACCGCUUUCGCUUGUGACGAAGCGUGAGUGACGGUAAUGGGUAAAGAAGCACCGGCUAACUACGUG